rnacentral:ncRNA from 1 species
CUUUUAUUAAGAAUGGUGGAGGGACUGGCCCUAUGAAGCCUGGCAACAGCUAACUUAGUUAGAAUUGUGCUAAAUCCUGCAGGAGUUUUCCUGAGAGAUAAAAG